rnacentral:rRNA from 1 species
ACUCCGGUUGAUCCUGCCGGACCCGACUGCUAUUAGGGUGAGACUAAGCCAUGCGAGUCUGCACCCUGGGCCAUGACAGGGUGCGGCGUACGGCUCAGUAAUACACGGCCAACCUACCCUUAGGAUGCGGAUAACCGCGGGAAAGGUGAAUCGCAACUUAAAAACCAUAACUAUAACAUUGCAUUAAACAUAUGGCAGCAAAUCGUUGAAAAUCUUUUUACCAUGAUUAGCCAGAAAGCCCAUGUCUUUUAAGGGUGAGAUGAAUGGUAUUAAACUUAAAUAGAUGCUUAAGCUCAAGCCUUUCUUAAGCGUGCUACUCGAAUGUGGUUCAGAUGUUUAAACCUGAAUAAGGCUCCAGACCAAGAUGGAUGUAAGGGCUUAAUAACGAUUCACCCCCGAAACUGCGGAUAACCCGCAAUAGGAGAGGAGGCCUGGAAUGGUCCCUCUCUGAAAAGACUUCAGAGUCAUGCUCUCUGAAGUCGCCUAAGGAUGGG